rnacentral:lncRNA from 1 species
GGCGAGGGAGGCAGGGGCGGCACGUCGGCGGCAGGGCACCAGGGCUUCGGGAUCAGCACAGAGUUGGGUGCAAGCGUCACAGGCGAUGGAUUCGGCGGAGGCGAGGCGUCACUGGCGAAGCUCGGACGUCGGCGCUUGGAUCUGGACCGGCUACUGUCGGGGGGAAAAAUCGCCGGCUAGGGUUCCGGCGAGGGCUCUGGCGAGGAUGAAGACGCGGGCCGGCACGGGGCUUACGUCGGAUCCGGGUGUGGGCGUCGCGGAUCGGCACGGGGCAGCGUCGGAUCUGGGAGCAGGCGUCGCGGGGCUGUACGACGAGGAGCUCUGGCGUCUAGAUCUCGGUUCAGUGACUUCGCGAGCGGAGCAGGAGCGG